UUUCCGUAGGUGAACCUGCGGAAGGAUCAUUCAUAGUAAGUGUUUUAUGGCACUUUUUUAAAUCCAUUUCCACCUUGUGUGCAAUGUCAGGGUUGAUUUUUCUCUCGAGAGGAUCAACCCCAAACAUCAACUAUAUCUCAACUCUUUGUCUGAAAAAUAUUAUGAAUAAAACAAUUCAAAAUACAACUUUCAACAACGGAUCUCUUGGCUCUC
rnacentral:misc_RNA from 1 species